rnacentral:sRNA from 1 species
CCCCCUCGCCGCGCUCUUGCCUGAUUAGGAGCGCGGCAACUC